GGAGGGGUAGCAUAGAUGGUCUAAUGCGGCGGAUUGCUAAUCCGUUGUACCGUGGAAACGCGGUACCGUGGGUUCAAAUCCCACCCCCUCCGCUA
rnacentral:tRNA from 1 species